rnacentral:rRNA from 1 species
AAAGCGUGCGCAGGCGGUUAUAUAAGACAGAGGUGAAAUCCCCGGGCUCAACCUGGGAACUGCCUUUGUGACUGUAUGGCUAGAGUGUGUCAGAGGGGGGUAGAAUUCCACGUGUAGCAGUGAAAUGCGUAGAUAUGUGGAGGAAUACCGAUGGCGAAGGCAGCCCCCUGGGAUAACACUGACGCUCAUGCACGAAAGCGUGGGGAGCAAACAGGAUUAGAUACCCCUGU